GAGGGUAUAGCUCAGUGGUAGAGUGCAUCCCUAGCAAGCAUAAAGUCCUGGGUUCAAUCCCCAGCACCUCCA
rnacentral:tRNA from 1 species